rnacentral:rRNA from 1 species
UGGGGAAUAUUGCACAAUGGGCGCACGCCUGAUGCAGCCAUGCCGCGUGUAUGAAGAAGGCCUUCGGGUUGUAAAGUACUUUCAGCGGGGAGGAAGGUGUUGAGGUUAAUAACCUCAGCAAUUGACGUUACCCGCAGAAGAAGCACCGACUAACUCCGUGCCAGCAGCCGCGGUAAUACGGAGGGUGCAAGCGUUAAUCGGAAUUACUGGGCGUAAAGCGCACGCAGGCGGUCUGUCAAGUCGGAUGUGAAAUCCCCGGGCUCAACCUGGGAACUGCAUUCGAAACUGGCAGGCUAGAGUCUUGUAGAGGGGGGUAGAAUUCCAGGUGUAGCGGUGAAAUGCGUAGAGAUCUGGAGGAAUACCGGUGGCGAAGGCGGCCCCCUGGACAAAGACUGACGCUCAGGUGCGAAAGCGUGGGGAGCAAACA